UAGGGAAUAUUGGACAAUGGGGGCAACCCUGAUCCAGCCAUGCCGCGUGAGUGAAGAAGGCCCUCGGGUUGUAAAGCUCUUUUGUCCGGAAAGAAAAGCUUCGGGUUAAUACCCCGGGGUUCUGACGGUACCGGAAGAAUAAGCACCGGCUAACUUCGUGCCAGCAGCCGCGGUAAUACGAAGGGUGCAAGCGUUACUCGGAAUUACUGGGCGUAAAGCGUGCGUAGGUGGUUGUUUAAGUCUGAUGUGAAAGCCCUGGGCUCAACCUGGGAAUGGCAUUUGAAACUGGGCAGCUAGAGUGCGGUAGAGGGUAGUGGAAUUCCCGGUGUAGCAGUGAAAUGCGUAGAGAUCGGGAGGAACAUCUGUGGCGAAGGCGACUGCCUGGACCAGCACUGACACUGAGGCACGAAAGCGUGGGGAGCAAACA
rnacentral:rRNA from 1 species